AGUUGGGCAGGAUGCAGUGCUCUGUUAAUGAGCUUGGAGCUUUCUUCAUAGUCCUCCUAGUGGCAGAGGCAGGAGGUGAACCACUAGUAGUUUCUAUCAUUCCUGUCGAAAACCCAACGUAUGCUGAAGAGUAUCACUGCACAGUCGAUGCCUACUCUAACACCUCAAACUACAGCUGGUACAGGCAGAACGGGAAUGGACUUCCGGAAGGAGUGAAGGCAGAGGGAAACAAACUGCACUUUUUGAAGUCCACCCCUGAACUUAAUGGUUUAUACAUUUGCACAGUAGUGAACCAGCACGGAACAGCAGCUGGAUCACUCUAUCGGAACAUACACAAACACGAAGAGCUUUAAUGAAGGAUCUAAUGAAGAGCUUUCAAGAAGGAAAACAUGGAAGAAUGGAAGGACAAAGAAAUCCUGUCUCUGUGUCUCUGCAGUUUUGUGUUUAUUCAUAGAUAAUGUCUAAGUUUAAGUGUGACAAUAUGUUAUCUGCCUAGUAAUAGCCUAUGCAGAACUAUUCAAUGCAAAACCAUGCAAUACUGUUCAAUUCAAUACAUUCCCUGCUUACUGAGCUCAGUAAAGGUUAAGCUAGUAUGCAAAUAUUUGACACACAGGUUAUUUGUCGUAAUUUGUAAAAAUAAAAUAAAAAAAAUCUAGAAAAACUAGAUUUUAGUUUUUACUUUUAAAUAAUAAAUCUGCUCAGAUUAGGCAUGUUUAAUAAAAAUACUCACUC
rnacentral:lncRNA from 1 species